CCUUAGUCCCGAUUGCAGUGAAAAUCCUUUCAUUGCAAACUUGCAAUGAAAGAUUGCAACGGAAAGCGGGAACAAGG
rnacentral:sRNA from 1 species